GAUACCCUGGUAGUCCACGCCGUAAACGAUGAGUGCUAGGUGUUAGGCCCUUUCCGGGGUUUAGUGCCGCAGCUAACGCAUUAAGCACUCCGCCUGGGGAGUACGNCCGCAAGGUUGAAACUCAAAGGAAUUGACGGGGGCCCGCNCAAGCGGUGGAGCAUGUGGUUUAAUUCGAAGCAACGCGAAGAACCUUACCAGGUCNNGACAUCCCUCUGAUCGCUCUAGAGAUAGAGUUUUCCUUCGGGACAGAGGUGACAGGUGGUGCAUGGUUGUCGUCAGCUCGUGUCGUGAGAUGUUGGGUUAAGUCCCGCAACGAGCGCAACCCNUNNUGUUAGUUGCCAUCAUUUAGUUGGGCACUCUAGCGAGACUGCCGGUAAUAAACCGGAGGAAGGUGGGGAUGACGUCAAAUCAUCAUGCCCCAUAUGACCUGGGCUACACACGUGCUACAAUGGCUGGUACAACGAGUCGCAAGCCGGUGACGGCAAGNUAAUCUCUUAAAGCCAGUCUCAGUUCGGAUUGUAGGCUGCAACUCGCCUACANGAAGUCGGAAUCGCUAGUAAUCGCGGAUCAGCACGCCGCGGUGAUACGUUCCCGGGCCUUGUACACACCGCCCGUCACNCCACGAGAGUUUGUAACACCCGAAGUCGGUGAGGUANCCUUUUAGGA
rnacentral:rRNA from 1 species